rnacentral:lncRNA from 1 species
CAGGGGGGCCCAAGGUCCGGGGCCUUCACUCUGUGAGAGGAGGUGACCGGGGCUGGAACCGGUGGGCCUCAUUCCGGGUCCCCGCGGCCCACUCAGCUGCGCCCAUGUGCCCAUUUCGCAGAUGCAAACACUGAGUCGCCGACGGGGCGGGGCUUUCUAGGAUACGGCGACGGGUUGCUUUGGAAAAUCAGGACCAGGAAGCCUAGCCUCCCAGGAUCCGGCCCUUCUCUCAUCCUCGGGAGGGUGGUCAGUGGCGGGGAAUCUUGACCCUUUUCUCCUCCCCUCCACAAUUCCCGCAGAGUGGUUCCCUCUACGGUCCCCGUGUGGCCUCAGUGGUUCAGCCCUCCGGCCCCCGAGUCCCCCCGGGUGGAGGGUCGGUGGUACCGCCCGCAGGCCCCCAGGGUCAGUGGCUUGCUCCCCCCUCCCCUGGAGCCCAUGCGGAGGGGGCUGACAGAGACGGUUCCGGGGCCUGGCGACUAGGGGCUGUCCCCGGCGCUGCCUGAGCUCCAGGCCCGACGCCAUCUUGUGGCGGCGCCGGGUUUCCGCUCAGGCAAGUGCGAGAGCGACUAAAGGGCCUGGGACCCCGGGGCCCUGUUCGGACAGCCCCGCCGGCCCGGGACCUCGCCGCCGGGUCUCCCCGCAGUGUGGCCCCGCUUCCUAGCAGGGUGCGGUGUGGCGACCUGACUCUCCCCGAAGCUCACCUGACGCUUUCGUAGCGGUGUUCCUCUCCGACUCCGGCAUCGACGAGGUCGCCAUCCUCUUCCCCCCCGCGGCGGAGGGACCCAUCGACCUCCCUGAGGCCGGGACUACUUCCUACGCCGGGCCGGAGAAAGACAGGCUUCCAAUGUUCUGGAAGGUAGCCCCGAGGCCUGAAAAUCAUAAUAGAGUCGUAAGAGAAUCUGAGAUUUUAUAUGUCGCUUAGUAUGAGUGGAAGAAUCCUCUAUGGUUAGGGGCUACUUUAUCUCAGGGCGGAGGAACACAGAGGAGUGGCUAUGUGACGUCACUGUUGGACCCUUCCCUGGGCCGCAGGCCGGGGCGCGGCUGAGUCUGGCCCCACUUCCGGAGGCGUGGCUCCCGGUGGCCUGGCCACGCCCUUCCCGGAACAGCUCAGAAAGACGUGAAACGGAGUGUUUGGUUGACUCCUUGAAACAACAUAUCAGAAUUCUUCCAUUGCAAAGACAAGCCAAUCUGGUUUUCUGACUACCAAUCGAGAGCUCUUCUCACCAGAACAUGCAGUGUGUAGUUACGGCCUCAGCUUUGAUGGGACGAUUUCUAGAAGCAGUGAUGGGGCUCUGGGUCAGGACAUUCAAGUAGACCAUUGAGAAAAAUACUGAGGAGAGGAGCCAAGAGGGAAAGCACUCUCCUUGUGCAUCUGACUCAAGCCAGGCAGUGCGUGUGUGCUUUGCUGCAUCACAGUACCUUAAAGAAGCUGGGGUUGUUCUAGUCGUCCAUGGUAGAGAGGAAGCUGAAGCUCAGAGAGGGAAAGUGACUUGUCCAAGGUCAUACAGCCUAGAGGAUAGAACUGGCGUAUGGGUGCAGGUCUCUCUGAUUCCAAAGCCCCAAGCAAUUUAGGUACCAUAUGAGGUAUGACAAAGCUACGACAAACCUAGACAGCGUAUUAAAAAGCAGAGACAUUACUUUGCCAACAAAGGUCUGUAUAGGCAAAGUGAUGGUUUUUCCAGUAGUCAUGUAUGGAUGUGAGAGUUGGACCGUAAAGAAUGGUGAGCACCGAAGAACUAAUGCUUUUGAACUGUGAUGUUGGAGAAGACUCUUGAGAGUCCCUUGGACUGCAAGGAGAUCAAACCAGUCAAUCCUAAAGGAAAUCAACCCUGAAUAUUCAUUGGAAGGACUGGAUGCUGAAGCUGAAACUCCAAUACUUUGGUCACCUGAUGAGAACUGACUCAUGGGAAAAGCCCUGACGCUGGGAACGAUUGAAGGCAGGAGGAGAAGGGGACGACAGAGGACACGAGAUGCUUGGAUGGCAUCACUGACUGGAUGAGCAUGAGUUUGAGCAAGCUCCAGGAGAUGGUGAAGGACAGGGAGGCCUGGCAUGCUGCAGUUCAUGGAGUGUGAAAGAGUCGGACACGACUGAGCAACUGAACUGAACUGAUAAACGUACGGCUUAAGAAACUCAGUGCCAGUGAUUGUAUUAAGCACUUUACCUAUAUGUAUUUAUCGUCACAACUACUCUAUGAAGUAGUUGCCAUCAUUAUUUCCAUUUUAGAUAUGAGAAAACAGGUACAGGACAAUAAAGGAAUAGAAGUAAGGGUGGAACUGGGAUUG